CCCUGCGCUACCGGCUCGCUGGACGGACAGAUGGACAGUUUAUUAGUAGUGAGCAAAUAACUUCGUCAUUUUAAAUAUGAUAAUGUAUCGUGUUAGCACAAAUCAAUGUAAGAUUGAUAAUUUACUUGGUUUACACAAAGAUUAUCAAUUUUGGAUAAUGUUAUUGGUAAAUAGGUAAUUCACAUUAGGAUUAAAUUGACACAAUUAUAAGGUUUGGUAAUGUAUUAAUUUUAUUUACAAUAAAUUGGCAGCUUG